rnacentral:rRNA from 1 species
AGGAAGCACCGGCUAACUCCGUGCCAGCAGCCGCGGUAAUACGGAGGGUGCAAGCGUUGUUCGGAAUUACUGGGCGUAAAGGGCGCGUAGGUGGCUAAUUAAGUCAGGUGUGAAAUCCUUCCGCUUAACGGGAGAAGUGCACUUGAAACUGCUUAGCUAGAGUACGGGAGAGGAAGGUGGAAUUCCUGGUGUAGAGGUGAAAUUCAUAGAUAUCGGGAAGAACACCGGUGGCGAAGGCGGCCUUCUGGCCCGUUACUGACGCUGAGGCGCGAAAGCGUGGGGAGCAAACAGGAUUAGAUACCCUGGUAGUCCACGCCGUAAACGUUGGGCACUAGGUGUGGGAGGUUUUUAUUCCUUCUUUGCCGAAGCUAACGCA